GCGAAGCAGUGAUGUGAAGCGAAACUCAAAAAAGUAAGUCUCAGUUCGGAUUGAAGGCUGAAAUUCGCCUUCAUGAAGCCGGAAUUGCUAGUAAUGGCAGGCCAGCAUACUGCCGUGAAUACGUUCCCGGGCCUUGUACACACCGCCCGUCACACCAUGAGAGUUGGGAAUACCCGAAGCCUGUGAGCUAACUUUUAGAGGCAGCAGUCGAAGGUAGAAUCAAUGAUUGGGGUGAAGUCGUAACAAGGUAAC
rnacentral:rRNA from 1 species